ACGGAGUGCUCAUGACGGAGGAUUCGUCCAACGGAUUGAGUUACUUAGUGGCGGACGGGUGAGUAACGCGUGAGGAACCUGCCUCGGAGUGGGGAAUAACAGACCGAAAGGCCUGCUAAUACCGCAUGAUGCAGUUGGGUCGCAUGACUCUGACUGCCAAAGAUUUAUCGCUCUGAGAUGGCCUCGCGUCUGAUUAGCUAGUUGGCGGGGUAACGGCCCACCAAGGCGACGAUCAGUAGCCGGACUGAGAGGUUGACCGGCCACAUUGGGACUGAGACACGGCCCAGACUCCUACGGGAGGCAGCAGUGGGGAAUAUUGGGCAAUGGGCGCAAGCCUGACCCAGCAACGCCGCGUGAAGGAAGAAGGCUUUCGGGUUGUAAACUUCUUUUCUCAGGGACGAAAUAAAUGACGGUACCUGAGGAAUAAGCCACGGCUAACUACGUGCCAGCAGCCGCGGUAAUACGUAGGUGGCAAGCGUUAUCCGGAUUUACUGGGUGUAAAGGGCGUGUAGGCGGGAUUGCAAGUCAGACGUGAAAACUAUGGGCUCAACCCAUAGCCUGCGUUUGAAACUGUAGUUCUUGAGUGCUGA
rnacentral:rRNA from 1 species